rnacentral:rRNA from 1 species
AUUGAACGCUGGCGGCAGGCUUAACAUAUGCAAGUCGAGCGGGGUGAUGGUGCUUGCACUAUCACUUAGCGGCGGACGGGUGAGUAAUGCUUAGGAAUCUGCCUAUUAGUGGGGGACAACAUCUCGAAAGGGAUGCUAAUACCGCAUACGUCCUACGGGAGAAAGCAGGGGAUCACUUGUGACCUUGCGCUAAUAGAUGAGCCUAAGUCGGAUUAGGUAGUUGGUGGGGUAAAGGCCCACCAAGCCAACGAUCUGUAGCUGGUCUGAGAGGACGACCAGCCACACUGGAACUGAGACACGGUCCAGACUCCUACGGGAAGGCAGCAGUGGGGAAUAUUGGACAAUGGGGGGAACCCUGAUCCAGCCAUGCCGCGUGUGUGAAGAAGGCCUUAUGGUUGUAAAGCACUUUAAGCGAGGAGGAGGCUCUUUUGGUUAAUACCCAAGAUGAGUGGACGUUACUCGCAGAAUAAGCACCGGCUAACUCUGUGCCAGCAGCCGCAGUAA